AAUAUUGGACAAUGGGGGCAACCCUGAUCCAGCCAUGCCGCGUGUGUGAAGAAGGUCUUCGGAUUGUAAAGCACUUUAAGUUGGGAGGAAGGGCUUUAGGUUAAUAACCUGCAGUUUUGACGUUACACACAGAAUAAGGAACGGCGAACUCGGUGCCAGCAGCCGCGGUAAUAAAGAGGGUGCAAGCGUUACGCGGGAUUACUGGGCGUAAAUCGCGCGUAGGUGGUUCAGUAAGAUGGGUGUGAAAUCCCCGGGCUUAACCUGGGAACUGCUUUCAUAACUGCUGAGCUAGAGUACGGUAGAGGGUAGUGGAAUUUCCUGUGUAGCGGUGAAAUGCGUAGAUAUAGGAAGGAACACCAGUGGCGAAGGCGACUACCUGGACUGAUACUGACACUGAGGUGCGAAAGCGUGGGGAGCAAACA
rnacentral:rRNA from 1 species